GGCGGGCGGCGGCCAUGGCGGAGCCGCGGGUUCUGGUGAUCGACGGGCGCGGGCACCUCCUGGGCCGGCUGGCGGCGAUCGUGGCCAAGCAGGUGCUGCUGGGCCGCCGCGUGGUCGUGGUUCGCUGCGAGGGCAUCAACAUCUCCGGGAACUUCUACCGGAACAAGCGUAAGUGCC